CUCAAGAUCUUUAUUGAUUUAACUGUAACAGCAACCAUUGGUGAGAAUUUAGUUUUUUCCCUAAUUUCCAAACACCUGCUGGUUUGGAAGGAUGUUUAAAAAAAACAAAUGAUCAUGGAAUCACACAGGAUUGCCUCAAGGACCGCACAGUACCCUCUGCUAUCCACCCACAACAGUGAAAUGGACAGGAGGGGUGAGGGAACAACAUAUGAAGGGAGAAAAAGAAAAGGCCAAGGAAAGUGCUGGUAGUCUCCACUUUUCCAUUCAGAAUGGAUUGAACUGGGCCAUUGGUGGCACUUGACAGGGAAGGGCUUAUUUCUUUUUUAAAAAUAUUUUAAAGAUGCUUAAAAUGGACAUCUGAAUAUGUGAGUGUCCUCUGGGCUCUUCAAGACACCUUCUUUAAGGUUUUCCCCUGGGGUUGUAGAGGGUCUCCUCACCCAGGUGGAAAGAGAUGGGCCCCAUCUGCAGGUGAAGGAAAGGCACUGGCGUGCGGGACUCUGAUUUGGACAAAGUAGGAGCAGGAUAGCUCACACAACUCGCCCCUCA